GCCUCCGUAGCUCAGUUGGCCAGAGCAACCGCCUUGUAAGCGGUCGGUCGUCGGUUCGAAUCCGACCGGAGGCU
rnacentral:tRNA from 1 species